rnacentral:lncRNA from 1 species
AAAACUUAAAAAACUCUUAAAAUCAGGGACAUGCUGUCACAUAUUUUCCCUAAAUUUGUGACUUUAUUAAUACUUAUUUUUAGUGUAUGUUUAUUUAGGAGGAAUGAAUUUGUAAGAAAUAAGGUAAUAUUCUCAUUGUUUUGUUUAAACGAUAUAUAUAUUUUUUUAAAGUGUGAUUGUCAUUCAUGUUUUUAACUUAAAAAUCAAGAAAUAUAAAUAAAUAAAUACAUUAAGUGCUGCCUUAUACCUUUUUAUACUUGAAAAAUAAAAGUAUAAGAUUAUUGUGUAGAAGUUAGGAUAAAUUACACAAAACUACCUCAACUAUAGGUGUCACGACACUUUCAUACCUGAUCUUUUAAAAAUGACAAUGUCAUACAUCAUCUUAAAAAUUUGUGUCAAUGUCAUACAUCCGUUAGUUUUUCUGUUAAUUUCUCUGUGGCUAGAGGCGGGGCCCAUCACUAAUCCAACUGGAUUAAAAAAUUAUUAAAUAUAUUUUUAAUAAUUAAAAU